CUGAGUUCUGCAAAAUCUCUUUCCUCUUUAGCUUGAAAAUGAGUGAUUCAGAGGAUCCCGAGCUGGAGGAAGAGCUUCAGGCUGCUGACGAACUCCUUCAAGAUAUGCAGAAUGAUGCACAGAGUGAACCUCAGCCAAGACCAGUGCGCUGGAAAAAACGUGACAGACAGGGAGAUUGUAUUCCUCAAAGACCAUCAACCAGUCGAAGUACUACUUGCAUGCCACGUGUGUCCAGAGAUCAGCAUGAAUGUCCACGUGAAGAAACUAGUUAUGUUACCAGUGUCAACCCAACAAAAGGUACUUUACCUUCUUGUAUAUAUUGUGAUUCCUGUUUACUUUUAUAUUUGUUGUUAUAGUUGAGUUAGGCAGGGCUUUUGUGCAGUCCUAAGAAACAUACUGCCUAGGGUGUUUUUCACUAUGUGGAAGAGAUUCUUCCUUUCGUUAUUCUUUUCGUGUUAGUGUAUGGAACUGAGGUGCUUCGUCA
ensembl:lncRNA